rnacentral:rRNA from 1 species
AGUGAACGCUGGCGGCGUGCUUAACACAUGCAAGUCGAACGGUGAAGGGGAGCUUGCUCCCCGGAUCAGUGGCGAACGGGUGAGUAACACGUGGGCAACCUGCCCCAGACUUCGGGAUAACGCUUCGAAAGAGGUGCUAAUACCGGAUACGAACUCCUUGGGCAUCCUGGGAGUUGGAAAGUUUUUCGGUCUGGGAUGGGCCCGCGGCCUAUCAGCUAGUUGGUGAGGUAACGGCUCACCAAGGCGACGACGGGUAGCCGGCCUGAGAGGGCGACCGGCCACACUGGGACUGAGACACGGCCCAGACUCCUACGGGAGGCAGCAGUGGGGAAUAUUGCGCAAUGGGCGAAAGCCUGACGCAGCAACGCCGCGUGAGGGAUGACGGCCUUCGGGUUGUAAACCUCUUUCAGCAGGGAAGAAGCGAAAGUGACGGUACCUGCAGAAGAAGCACCGGCUAACUACGUGCCAGCCGCCGCAGUAACAC